ACCGUGGCUUUAGAUUGUUACUGUUAAUCUAACCUUAGUAACAGUCUACAGCCAUGGUCG
rnacentral:pre_miRNA from 1 species